UAUUAAAAUUUUCAUCAAUUUGUACUAUUAAAAACUAACGGGACUGACGGAAUAACUUGACAGUGAGGCUUGGUAUGCCAUGUGUACCUUAUGUUAACGUAUAGGGUCCAAUUUUUAAUAGCAAAAAUAGAUGGAAUUCUUAACA
rfam:Gossypium raimondii Chr02_contig_794, whole genome shotgun sequence.